CCUUACACAUGCAAGUCGAACCGUAGCAGCCGUAACGAUGCUGACGAGUGGCGAACGGGUGAGUAAUACAUCGGAACGUGCCCGAUCGUGGGGGAUAACGAGGCGAAAGCUUUGCUAAUACCGCAUACGAUCUACGGAUGAAAGCGGGGGAUCUUCGGACCUCGCGCGGACGGAGCGGCCGAUGGCAGAUUAGGUAGUUGGUGGGAUAAAAGCUUACCAAGCCGACGAUCUGUAGCUGGUCUGAGAGGAUGAUCAGCCACACUGGGACUGAGACACGGCCCAGACUCCUACGGGAGGCAGCAGUGGGGAAUUUUGGACAAUGGGCGAAAGCCUGAUCCAGCCAUGCCUCGUGCAGGAUGAAGGCCUUCGGGUUGUAAACUGCUUUUGUACGGAACGAAAAGCCUCUUUCUAAUAAAGAGGGGUCAUGACGGUACCGUAAGAAUAAGCACCGGCUAACUACGUUGCCAGCAGCCGCGGUAAUACGUAGGGUGCAAGCGUUAAUCGGAAUUACUGGGCGUAAA
rnacentral:rRNA from 1 species